rnacentral:snRNA from 1 species
CUGCUCGCUUUAGCAGCACAUAUACUAACAAUGAAAUGAUACAGAGAUGAGGCUGGCCUUGCUGCAAGGAUGAAGAGAAAAUUGAUGAAGUGUUUCCAAUUUAU